rnacentral:rRNA from 1 species
UCUGGUGUUGAAGGCCCUGCAAAGCAGCAUCGCGGUGGCGGAGCGUCGUUUGCGACGCCCAACACACAAAACAAGCGGUGAAUGCUUUGGGGUGGGGUGACUGCGUACCUUUUGUAUAAUGGGUCAGCGACUUAUAUUCUGUAGCAAGGUUAACCGUAUAGGGGAGCCGUAGGGAAACCGAGUCUUAACCGGGCGUUAAGUUGCAGGGUAUAGACCCGAAACCCGGUGAUCUAGCCAUGGGCAGGUUGAAGGUUGGGUAACACUAACUGGAGGACCGAACCGACUAAUGUUGAAAAAUUAGCGGAUGACCUGUGGCUGGGGGUGAAAGGCCAAUCAAACCGGGAGAUAGCUGGUUCUCCCCGAAAGCUAUUUAGGUAGCGCCUCGUGAAUUCAUCUCCGGGGGUAGAGCACUGUUUCGGCUAGGGGGCCAUCCCGGCUUACCAACCCGAUGCAAACUGCGAAUACCGGAGAAUGUUAUCACGGGAGACACACGGCGGGUGCUAACGUCCGUCGUGAAGAGGGAAACAACCCAGACCGCCAGCUAAGGUCCCAAAGUCAUGGUUAAGUGGGAAACGAUGUGGGAAGGCCCAGACAGCCAGGAUGUUGGCUUAGAAGCAGCCAUCAUUUAAAGAAAGCGUAAUAGCUCACUGGUCGAGUCGGCCUGCGCGGAAGAUGUAACGGGGCUAAACCAU